rnacentral:rRNA from 1 species
UACGGGGGGGGCAAGCGUUGUUCGGAAUUACUGGGCGUAAAGGGCUCGUAGGCGGCCAACUAAGUCAUACGUGAAAUCCCUCGGCUUAACCGGGGAACUGCGUCUGAUACUGGAUGGCUUGAGAUUGGGAGAGGGAUGCGGAAUUCCAGGUGUAGCGGUGAAAUGCGUAGAUAUCUGGAGGAACACCGGUGGCGAAGGCGGCAUCCUGGACCAUCACUGACACUGAGGAGCGAAAGCGUGGGGAGCAAACGGG